rnacentral:misc_RNA from 1 species
GGAAAACUAAAUGUGUUUUAUUGCUUUUUCAUCUUUCUAUAUCUAUUUAAGCUUUUGCAUGUGCGUUGGUUUUUCUUAUCUCUAAUGGCGACAGAUAAUAGAAUUCCAAAACCUUCAAAGUGGUUCUCUAACAAGAGUCUUAGAUUAAGCCUCCAUCGUCGCAGAUCAAAGUCUAGUUCAACCUUAAGCUCUCCUUCCUCUCCUAUGUCUCCAUGCACACCACAAAAUAACUCAAAAGAAAAUGAGCUGAAAGAGGUUUUUCGUCACUUUGAUAGCGAUGGGGAUGAGAAGAUCUCAGCCUUAGAGCUUAGGUCUUACUUUGGGUCAAUUGGGGAGUACAUGUCUCAUGAGCAGGCUCAAGCAGUAAUAGAUGAUCUUGACUCAGAUGGGGAUAAGUUAUUAGACUUUAAAGAUUUUUUGAGCCUUAUGAAAAGGGAAGCAAAUGAAGAAGAUGAUGAUCUUAAAAAGGCCUUCGAAAUGUUUGAAAUGGAGAAGGGAUCAGGAUGCAUAACCCCAAAGGGAUUGCAGAGGAUGCUUCAUCGUCUAGGAGAUGCAAAAUCCUAUGAUGAAUGUGUGGCCAUGAUCCAUGUAUUUGAUACAGAUGGUAAUGGGGUUCUUGAUUUUCAAGAGUUUCAUCAAAUGAUGGCUUAAUUCACAAUUAAUUCUACAUUGUUAGGAGCAUAAAAAUGAAAAGAGGAAGAUAAAGAAAGGCCAGAGAUCCAACUUCUUAAGGCCAGAGAUCCAACUUCUUUUUCUUUCUUUCUUUCAUUUCGUUUAUUAUUUUUAUUAAUUGUUAUGAAAAUUCUUGGUCUUUGUUUGAGAUUCCUAGCAUAUGCACCCAUGGCAAUAAUUGCUUGUCUUUGUAUAGUUAAGUUUGAAAAUAAAGCACAGCAUGAGGUUUGAUC